UUCGUGUCGUGAGAUGUUCGGUCAAGUCUCGCAACGAGCGCAACCCUUGAUCUUAGUUGCCAACAUUCAGUUGGGCACUCUAAGAUGACUGCCGGUGACAAACCGGAGGAAGGUGGGGAUGACGUCAAAUCAUCAUGCCCCUUAUGACCUGGGCUACACACGUGCUACAAUGGAUGGUACAAAGAGGAGCGAAACCGAGAGGUCAAGCAAAUCUCAUAAAACCAUUCUCAGUUCGGAUUGCAGGCUGCAACUCGCCUGCAUGAAGCCGGAAUCGCUAGUAAUCGUGGAUCAGCAUGCCACGGUGAAUACGUUCCCGGGUCUUGUACACACCGCCCGUCACACCACGAGAGUCGGUAACACCCGAAGUCGGUGAGGUAACCUUUAUGGAGCCAGCCGCCGAAGGUGGGACCAAUGAUUGGGGUGAAAAGGUAACAAGGUAGCCGUAUCGGAAGGUGCGGCU
rnacentral:rRNA from 1 species